rnacentral:lncRNA from 1 species
CUGAAUCUGGGUCCACAUGAGCAGCCAGUGCUCUUAACUUCUGCGCCAUCUCCCCAGCCCGUCAUUUCUUUUGAGACUAUGUAGCCCAGAAUAGAUAGCAUCGAACUUGAGCUCUUCCUGCCUUAGCCUCCUGGGUUGCUGGGAUUACAGGGAUGCACACAGCUUUAGGAUCCAGAUAAUAUAUUCUAAUAAGUGCAUUAUUACUGGAAGCAGUAGGAGGAGGAACCUGUCUACAUGGGAUUGCAUAAGGUUAACUCGGAAGCAGCGACUGCACUGAGCACCAGACUGGAUUUUCAUAUCAUUGGAACAGGACAGGCUGGCAUCUCCCAGUGUUGAGACUGCAACAAUGCACAGCCAAGUGUCAUGGAUGUUUUCACUUAGCAAUCAGUACUGGGGAUUGAACCGGGAAUCCUAUAUGCGCUAAGCAAAGCACCCUACCGCAGAGCUGCAUUGCAGUAGUGAGUGGGAAGUCGCUAAAGAUGGACCCUUCUUACAAGUCUCAGUUCAGGAAGAGCACAGCAGGGAAGCUACAUGGAAGUAACUUGGAAUCCCCUAUAAGAAAAUACUGGUCAUCAAACAUCUAUUAAACAAGUGCCCCGGACUAUAAAUCCCCACCCCAAGCCAGCUUUGAAAAGGCCAAGUGUGAACAGAAGAGAGAGAGAAUGACUAUGAAGUUGAGAGGGGAUCUGUGAAGAGAUGGACAGCAGGAAAAUUAGGAUUAAAAUAUACUGAAUGAAAUUCUCAAAAAAAAAAUAAAAAUAAAAAAGAGAGUGUGAUAGCUUAUCCCGAGCUUGCCUGAAAUCAGAUGAAAUCACUUAAAAAAAAAAAAAGAUUCAUCUUAUUUUCAGUCAUGCACAUGUGCCCACAGAGGCCAGAGGCCUCUCGGAUCUGAGGUUACAGCCAGUAGUGAGCUACCCGAUGUGGGUGCUGGGACCCCAACUCUGGUCCUCCGUAAGAGCAAUCAAUAUGCACAGUGAGUGGCAGAGCCGUCUCUUCAGACCAUAGCUGAAUAUGCUUUCUUUGGGAAUUCGUUGAUAAUAUUCUGUCUUAGCUAACAGGGUGGGUUCUGCACCUAAGGCCUUCUAAGAUAAUGCAG